rnacentral:lncRNA from 1 species
CUGGUGGCGGCUGCAAUUUCGUCUUGACAUUGAUGUACUAUUUUCCACCGAUAAAAAGGCGUUCAACUUCUCGAUCAAGUCUGGAUGAUAGAGAAAAAGCGGAGGAGCAGAAAGUAGAUAGAGAAAAAGACGACGACAAUAUUUUGGACAGUGAGAAAGUCGACGGCAUAUUGAUACGGAGUAUAGAGAGAAGCAGGAUUGGGGUACGGUUCAAAGUUAGGGUCUUAUUACUUUGGAAGUUUUUGCCUCCGCAUUUUUUCUAGCCGUCAUAUCUAAUCUUGUGUUUUUAAA